AUUGAACGCUGGCGGCAGGCUUAACACAUGCAAGUCGAGCGAGUGGCGGACGGGUGAGUAAUGUCUGGGAAACUGCCUGAUGGAGGGGGAUAACUACUGGAAACGGUAGCUAAUACCGCAUACCAUCAGAUGUGCCCAGAUGGGAUUAGCUAGUAGGUGGGGUAAUGGCUCACCUAGGCGACGAUCCCUAGCUGGUCUGAGAGGAUGACCAGCCACAAGGGAACGGAGACACGGUCGAGACGCCUACGGGAGGCAGCAGUGGGGAAUAUUGCACAAUGGGCGCAAGCCUGAGGCAGCCAUGCCGCGUGUAUGAAGAAGGCCUUCGGGUUGUAAAGCACUUUCAGCGAGGAGGCGUUACUCGCAGAAGAAGCACCGGCUAACUCCGUGCCAGCAGCGGCGGUAAUAC
rnacentral:rRNA from 1 species